rnacentral:misc_RNA from 1 species
AAAAAAAUGAAUAAAUAAAUAAAUAAAGGAGGAUCCUUUUGAUGGGAAACCGAGGCCACCAUAGAUGAGCAUGACCAGCUACCGAUGGACAAUUCUAAAAUGUGAUGGUCAUGAUUGCACAAACCAAAACAGGCCCUUUUCUCUUAACACCUUCUUCACCAUUUAUAAUACUUUCUUGCAGAGCCCGCCUGGUUUUUAUGUGCAGUAUUAAU